GAUUGGUUAAGCAAAAGCACAAUAGUUUAGUGCCUUGAGUCUCUUGGGAAAACAAUACUUGGACUUACCAUUUAUUAUUACUUGAAACGAUUUGGUACGCUUGCCAAUUUGUUAACAAGUUUUUGGCGCCGUUGCCAGGGACUCAUGGUAGAACUAUUCUAUGUGUGUGAUUCUUGAUUGAUUAGACUUUCUUUAUUUUAUUUUAUUUGAUAUUAUUUGAUUUGAUUUGAUUUUAUCUUAUUUUGUUUUAUUUUAUUUUAUCUUAUUUUUUUUCAUUUGAUUUGAUUUAAUUUGAUUGGAUUGGAUUUGAUUUGAUUUGAUUUGAUUUGAUUUGAUUUGAUUUGAUUUUAUUUGAUUUUAUUUGAUUUUAUUUUAUUUUUUU
rnacentral:lncRNA from 1 species